CCCGCUGAACUUAAGCAUAUCAAUAAGCGGAGGAAAAGAAACUAACAAGGAUUCCCCUAGUAACUGCGAGUGAAGCGGGAAAAGCUCAAAUUUAAAAUCUGGCGGUCUUGCAGCCGUCCGAGUUGUAAUCUGGAGAAGCGUUUAUCCGCGUCGGACCGUGUACAAGUCUUCUGGAAGGGAGCGUCGUAGAGGGUGAGAAUCCCGUCUUUGACACGGACAACCGGUGCUUUUGUGAUGCGCUCUCGAAGAGUCGAGUUGUUUGGGAAUGCAGCUCAAAAUGGGUGGUAAAUUCCAUCUAAAGCUAAAUAUUGGCGAGAGACCGAUAGCGAGCAAGUACCGUGAGGGAAAGAUGAAAAGAACUUUGGAAAGAGAGUUAAACAGUACGUGAAAUUGUUGAAAGGGAAACGCUUGAAGUCAGUCGCGUUGGCCAGGAAUCAACCUUGCUUUUGCUUGGCGUACUUUCUGGUUAACGGGUCAGCAUCAAUUUUGAUCGGUGGAUAAAGAUCAGGGGAAUGUGGCAUCUUCGGAUGUGUUAUAGCCUCUGGUCGCAUACAUCGGUUGGGAUUGAGGAACUCAGCACGCCGCAAGGCCGGGUUUUUACCACGUACGUGCUUAGGAUGCUGGCAUAAUGGCUUUAAUCGACCCGUCUUGAAACACGG
rnacentral:rRNA from 1 species